rnacentral:lncRNA from 1 species
AUUUUCUUUAAUUCGGUAUUUGAACAUAUUUGAAUUUUUUUUUCGUGUAUAUAGGUAAAGCUGCUCCAGGUCCUGGUUCUGAAACCUUGCCACCGCCAGGUAACUAAGAAUUAAUUAUUUUUUUAUAAUAUUUGUUUUAACAAAUAUUCAUUAAUUUAUGGUCCCAAACAAGGUUUAUACUGCAAUUUAAAACUAGAAUUAUAAUCUGGAUAGUUAAUCCUAUAUAGUAUAUGGAAUAAGUUAUAUCAGAUUUCUGAUAUAAAAAUAAUAUUUUCUCUAUCCUAGUUGUGUUGUUAUAUUUUCAUUUUUAUUCUGUCUCAAAAGAAUAUCUAUACUUCCUUAUUUAAAAAUAAUUCAAUUUUAAACUUUUUUUAAUGAAAUAAUCUAUAGUCACACAAUAUUUGUAGCUUAUUUUGGAGUACAAAUUUGAUAAAAAAUAUCUUAAAUUUUGUGUCAGAGCAAAUACCGUUUAUGUAAAUUGAAACAGAGAAAGUAUUGAUAUUAGUUAAUACCUUUAGGAAAAAAAAGGAUAAAUUUUUUCAACAAAGUUAUGAGCCCGUUUGGGUUAGCUGAUAAGUAUUAGGUGCUGAAAAGUAUUUUUAAGUGUUAAAGCGGAUUAAAAAAAUAAGCAGUCAUGUGUUUGGAUAAAAGUGAUGAAAUUAAUAAUAAGCUACUGAGGAAUUAGGUAUACGAAGAGUUUUGUUUUAAAAAGAAGUAUUUUAGGGAUAUAAUAGUAAAUAUUUUGGUCAAAUCUAAAGUACUUAUAAGCUAAAAUUUGAUAAGUUGGGAGAGACCAACUUAUGAAUUUUGACUUAUUUUUAACUUAUAAGCACUUUUAAUUUUACUAGACGCGUGAACAAUCUAAAAAAGUACUUAUAAGCUUGUUUGACCAGCUUAUAAGCUUAGCCAAACAUCUUCUAUAUCGAAAUAAUUCACUUAAUUCUUUGAAUAAAACAACAGACUUAUAUUUAUUGGUUAACGAUGUAACUAAGCCCCGAUUUUUAUAGUCAAUGAUAAGUUUUAGUACUUGUGUUUUAUUAACUUCCUUAACUAUGAUAACGAAGUUUUAUCUAACUUUAUUUUUGUUUUAAAGACCAAUUUUGUGAUAAUUCUCCAAGUCAUUGCUUCAAUUAAAGAUGUACAAACCAAAUCGGAAAAUCGUAUUGAAAUGAAAAGUUAAACCAAAUUGAUUAAAAAAUUCGACUAUGUUUGAUUUGGAUUGACUAAAAAAUCCGACCAAACCGACAUAUAAAUAUAUAAUUUUUAUAUAUACUUUUAAGACGUUAUAUAGAAUCUUCUUUACGAAAAUUCUAAAAAUAUUUGGAAUUCUCUAUGGGAUGUAAUAUUUAAUAAACUAUGAAGUACAUCAUUUUUAUUAAUCUUAAAUAAUGGUUUAUAUGAUCACUUUCAUAUUAAAUGUAACUGGAAUGCGUCAAUCUCUUUAUUCUUCCAGGUUUAUAUGUCAAGAUUCAUUAAAUUCUUAUAUCUUUUUUGAAUUUGAAGUAGUAUUUCAAUAAUCUAAAAUUAAAUAGAAUAUAUCAUUAAUUAGGUAUUAUAUUGAUUUUUAUAUUUAAUUAUUAAAAUUGUUUAACCUUGAAAGUAUAAAGUAAUAUCGAAAAAAUAUUUAUGAUACAAAAAAAUCCGAAAAAACCGAUAAAAUCGAACCAAUUCAAAUAUAUUUAAUUUAAUUUAAUUUUAAUAAAAAUCGAACCAACCAUAUAUAUAUAUACACCUAGCUUUAAUUAUGGACUUUGAUUUUAGUCUUUGUUCAACUUAUUAUUUUGUGGACCCCAAUGUUGAAAAUGAAAGAUUAGUUGUAUUCCUUUACUUUUUCCAAGUUUCUAAUAAUGUUUUUCGAGACUUCUAAUUAUAGUCUCAUGAGAUGUUGGACAAGGAAAAAAGGCAAACUUUGAUUUUACAUGAUACUCUAUAAUUUUCUUGUUUAUUGAUACAUUUAUAGUUUCAAAAAAAAUAAAUUAAUCUUAAACUUUGGUUUUACACUUGAUAAUUUGAAAUAUCGUGUGUUGUAAUGAUAUAUGUCGAAUCAAUUUUUCUUUUUAAACUUCAUUAUCGUCAACACAUCGGCAUAUGAAACGAAACUGAGGAUGCAAUAGUCUUCUCCAUCUUGUUAUUGUACAUAUUGGACUUCCACUAAAGGUUGGUGCGAUGGAUAUGAGUCCUUUCGCUCUUGAUCAAAGGUUUUAUAAUCGCUUAAGCUAAGCUGCAAAAAUCAGGUUAUUUUGAUAAGUGUUUUUUAAAAAAAAUACAUUUGGUGAGAAAAUUUUGUGUUUGUCUAAUUAAUUUGAAAAGUAAUUAUAAGCAGCAAUUAGUAUUUUAUCAAGCUUUAAAAACUACUUCUAAGUGUAUUUUCUCAAAAGUGCUUUUGGAGAGAAAUAUUUUUUUCUGCUUCUUCAAAAUUACUACUGCUUUUUCUCAAAAGCAUUUUUUGAAUUUCCGAACUUUGGCCAAAGACCUUAAAUUUAGAAAAAAGUAUUUUUGAUAGAAAAAAUUACUUUUACCUUAAAAUAAACUUGGCCAAACAAUGGUUAGGAAUAGAAAAAUCUUGAUAAGAACCAUUUUCGCCUAAUGAGCUUAUACCGCAAAGCUGAGUUAGUCAAAAUCUCAAAGCAGAUAAUAGACAUCGAAUAAAAACAAAAAAAAACUUGUCGAAGUUUUGCUAACAAUUUUACUGUCAUGAUCGAAAUUUUUAUAGCAACACCAGGUGGGAAUAAUGACAACAAUGGAGUAAACAAGAUUGCAUGGACUGGAAUCUCAAGUUUAUUUGUUCUUUCUGCUUCUUUGAUUCUUGCUUAGAAGUAAUGGUUGUGUUCAAAUUUUAGGGAAAUAUGAUGAAUUAUUCCCUUACCUGUUUUUGUUUUUGUUUUUCCUUUCCUUCACUAAGCUGAGGGUCGAUUGGAAGCAGCCUCUCUGCCCUUUUGGAUAAGAAUAAGGCACGUCUACAUAUUACCCUUCCAGACUCCACUUUGUGAGACUAUACUGGGUAAUUGUUGUUGUUGUAUUCUCUUACCUAAAGUACUAGUGAGAAGGCUGAUUACAUGUUAGAGGCUGUGUGUACUAUUGCUUGUUUCACUCAUUAUUUAUAGUGUGAGUAGUGUUACCUUCUUGGUGUAUGGAUUUGGUUGAAAGUUUUGAAUAUAUAAUAUUUGCUCGCAAGCUGAAUUUGUUCUCAAAUAUUUGAAGUUAUGAAAAAAGCAAAAAGUAUAAUAUACUGUGAAUGAGAUACGGAAUAUGUUGAGUUGUAUCACAUCGGAGGGAUUUGAGGUCGCCCAUCCCAAUUAUUGUUACCGAUAUUUGUCCCACAUCGGAAGGAUUUGAGGUCCUUGGUCUCC